GAGACCUGGUGCAGUAAUUGUGCACUUUUUUUAAUGGGGUGAAAUAAUGUUUAAAAACAGGAGGGACAAGGUCAUUUUCAUACCGAUGCAUGAACUUUGCUAUUUCUAGCGUAUGUAUAUCAGACAGCUGUAGGUAGGAAUUCAUACUGGUAGUAGAGCUGCAAAUUAGUUACACGAACUUUCUCUGCAAAUGCCAUACAUCGUAAAACUUUAUUUUGCAAAACAUGAACUGGCUGUAAGGAAGACCUUGAUGCUGAGCCCCAACUUAGCAGACCAUAUUGCAGACGUGAGUGAAAUAGACUAAAAUAUACUAAUUUGAGUGUUUUAGAUUUCAAAAUAUGCCUUAACCUGUAAAAUAUUCCAAGAGUUUGCGAUAAUUUCUUGGAUAACUCGGCAAUAUGUGGCUUCCAACUCAGUUCGUCAUCAAUUGUAAUUCCCAAAUAUUUAAUGGAUUUUGUUUGUUCUAUAAUGUUGCUGCCAAUGCCAACUCUAAAUGUGGAAAUACCAUGCUUUUUAUCACAAAACAACAUAAAUUUUGUUUUAGAAUAAUUUAGGGAUAAUUUGUUCGCUUUAAGCUAAUUAUCGACCUUCUGGAGUUCAUGAUUCACCACAGUUUGGAGUUCUAAACCACAGGAUGCUGACUUUAUCAGAGAAGUAUCAUCGGCAAAUAAUGUCGAAUGAAAAGUAGAUGCCAAAGUGGUGUGGUAUCACGAAGAAAAAAGGAUUCACUGAUGCUUGGUCCAAGAGUAUGCAUGUGGCUGUUCACAGCUGGACUUAUUUUUGACGCAAGCAUUGGACCAACUCUUAGGAAAUGAUGAUUCAGGGCAGCACAAAUGCCAGUACCAUCAGAAAUUCUCUUACCAUCACUUAUAAUAUAAGGUGGUAGUUUGUUAACCUUGGAAUAAUUACCAAUUAUUUUGCGAAUUUCGGUCCAUGUUUUUGCAAUAUCUUUUUGGUGUUGAGAAAAUAUGUUUUUAUAAUAUUCUUGUUUGGCUCUUGUGAGAGUCCUACA